rnacentral:lncRNA from 1 species
ACGUUUCAUUGUGUAGAGAAUGGAAAGACCCUGGCUGCAGUUUCCCAAUUCCAAGGGUUAUGUGUUUACGAGGAAACAUUGUACACAGCAUGCCUGCAAUGCGGGUAACGGCCAUAGUCUCCUCAGAGCCAAUCUCACGGCGACUUGCGGAGGUGGACACAGCAGAAACAACGCAACAGAAACUCCGCAUACACAUACACACG